AUGGUUAGUCUCCCAUGGAUAAUAGGAGGUGAUUUUAAUGAAAUUUUAUUUGGGAAUGAGAGAGAAGGAGGAAAUCUUCGACCCAUCAGAUGCAUGCAAGGAUUCAGAGACGCUCUGAACGACUAUUAUCUUGACGAUCUUGGGUAUAAUGGGGACAUAUUUACGUGGAGAAGAGGAAGAAUUAGGGAAAGGUUGGAUAGGAUGGUUGGGAAUCAAGCAUGGAAGGCCAUGUUUCCGUUGCAUGGAGUAGUCAAUGAAGAGUUUGAUAAAUCUGAUCACUGGCCGAUUGUUAUUGACACAGAGUAUUAUAAUGGGGUCCAAAACAGAAGCCUGACAAGAACGAAAAGGUUUGAAGCUCGCUGGCUGCGUGAGGAGGCGUUAGAAAAUAUUGUUCAGUGA
rnacentral:rRNA from 1 species